UUGCUCGCCCCAGCAGCACAUAUACUAAAAUUGGAGCAAUACAGAGAUUAGCAUGGCCACUGCGCAAGGAUGACACGUAAAUUCAUGAAGAGUUCCAUAUUUUA